CCGGGCUUUUUUUCCUUCCUUCCACCCUCCGAGUUUCCCCGCGGUGCGCGGCCGCCCAGGCUCUUCCUGGGCUCAAGGAGAGCCGGAUCCAGUGAUUUUAUGGACUAAACCCGCAAUUAGGCGGAGUCAUUAGCCCUGGAACCCCCUCCUCUCCCGAACGGCCCACGGCCCCGCGUGUCCCGGCGGCGCGGCCGCCCCGUCCCGCUCGCACCCACCUCCCGAAAAUUCAGCGAGCCGAAACUCUGCGACGGCUAAAACCGCUCCCUUCGCUGCUGCAAAACUCCAAUAAAUGGGAACAAAAGCAGCUCAGAGGACGGGGGAGCCCCUCCACGGCGGACGGGGCGCUGAUCCUACCUCUCUAUCUCCUUGCAGGGCGACCUAGAAACGCAGACGGCGUGGAGCAGCGAAACGAGAAGGCGCCUCGGCGGCGAGCCAGCACACGGAGGCAAGUUUACGCACACGGAGAGAAACACAUGGCGACAUAAAAGACUUAGUUCCCCCUCAGUAAGUGGACUUGGCAAUCCUGUUGAAAUGACCUUUUAGUUUCAAGUCUAGGAAACAGCCUUCCUCCCCAUUAAAACGGCAGGCUUUAAAUAGUCAGCAAAGAUAAAGAGAGGAGCGAGAAAAAGAAAACCACGCCAAUAGGAAGAGUGGUUAUUUUUUGGUAAACUAAGCAGUCACUAGGAGAGCAACCGCCCCGCUAAUUUGGGGAUUUUUUCGAGAAGUCUUUUCCCCAGCCCUGCUUUCUGCGGCGCGGUUGGAGCCGAGGUGCGGCCGCACUGAAUUUCCAGUCCAUUCCCCGAGUCGGUCGCGCAGGUUAGUGGUUUUAGCCAAAUAAAUAAAUGAAUAAAUUAAGCCAAUGAUGAAGAGUCGGAGCAACAGUAAAAAAAAAAAUAAAUUAGUAAGAACUUCCAACAGAGAAACACGCGAGCGGAGAAGGAGAAAAUAGGAGGAAAGGGGUCUUGCCUCUGAUCUUUGCUUUAAAAGAGAGCUUGAGAUUUUGGAAGACCGAGCAUGAAAUUGUCAUGAAAAAUAAAGAAGAGGAAGAUACGCGAGUCUGCUCGCCAGUCCAGAGAGCCGCUCUAACAAGGAGUUUUCUACACAGACGUCUGCAUCUGAUGAGGAGGAUAAAAUAUUCUUGGGAAUCUACAUAUGGGAAAUUAUAAAAGACCAACAGUUACGAAAAACACCUCCCUCCCCAAUCUCCGAGCGAAGUCGAAGCCAGCACCGACUUACCUGUGCAUGCCUUUAGUCUGUGCCUUUUUUAAAGCAAAUGCUUCCCCUCCCCCUUAAAAGCGCCCGGAAAAUAAAUAAAUAAAUGCAGCCCCUUUUCCUCGCA